CCUAUGAUUUUUGGAUGAGGAAGGGUUUUUUCAUAUGAUCUUUUCUUCUUUCCUCUCUUCCUCCUUUUCUCACUUCUCUUUUCUCUUAAUUUUCUCUUUUUUUUUCUCUUACUUUCUUCUUUUUUUCACAAUUUUUCUCUUUUUUUUUUCUUUUCUUAUUUUUUUCUUUAUUUUCACGCAUUUUCUCUUUUUUUCUUUUCUAUCAACCACUUCUUUUUCUUUUUCCUCAUCAUCUUUAUCUUCCUUACUCAACCUUUCUGUCUCUACCUCCUCAUCAACAACCUUAUCAUUUUCAAAGAUAGUGGCUUGACACUCCUCGUUAAGGUUAACUUCAGUACUAAACCUAAAAUCAUCCAGAGAUGCAGUCAUGCAACCCAAUUCUAUCUUCUUCCUUUUACAUCUUGCGUCAUCACAUUCUAAAAAGGAGAUAAUAUUCUGC
rnacentral:lncRNA from 1 species